rnacentral:lncRNA from 1 species
GGAUAAUUGGGGAAGGACGUGAGAAGAAAGGGAAGGCAGCGAGGCUGCCAGAAAAAAAGAAAGAAAAAAAUAUAAAAAAGAAAGGAAGUAGCGGCAGAAGUGAGUAGAGGGGGAGCUGCCCUUUGGCAGCUCGCAGACGUGGAGAACGGGAAGAGAGAGGACAGCAGUGGGCUGUCUUGGCAGCCCAGAGGGCAGUGAGCCUCGGGGAGAAAACAGAGAAGCAAAGCUGC